ensembl:lncRNA
GAGGGGAGGGAGUGGUACAGCAUCAGAGCUCCCUGAAGUCUCUGCUCUCAGCGUGGCUUGGCCUGACCCCCAUGCCAGCUGUGCCCAAGCCAUCCAUGCCAGGCCGCAGUGGGCACCCCUCUGGGCAGUGUGGGGCGGGUGUCAGCAGCAGCUGUGGAGCCUGGCACCCUCUACCACCUCUCUAGCUGGUUUCCUGAUAGCCCCCACAUACACACUCAGGGCACUGCUCAAGCUUCGGCAGCACCAAGCAGGAUGUUGGGGCAAAGGCAAGGGGUAGUAGAAAGAGAGCAUCUGGGUUUCAGAAUGUCUGGGUCCCUGAGAGCUGGGUGUCCCCCCACUCCGUAAGGGCAGCCUGGGCGGUGCCUGGCCUAGAACUGAGAAGGUGGGGUCAGAUCAAAGCCUCCUUCCCCAGCGGCCUCUUUGUUCUUCGCUUUUAUAAGGAGGAGGGGGUGGGGCCGAGGAGGGAGGGCCCCCUUUGCUCUCAGCCCCACUCUGUCUCUAUCACCUCUGGCAGGCAAAGCUAUGACGCCUCCCCCCCGCAAGACUAACCAGUGACCAGUGACCAGUGACCUGGGGGGAGCCAAAGAAGGGGUGCCCCUUCCCCCGGUGCUAUGCUCUACUCGCCCCGGUGCCCCACAGCUUCCCCUGGCACGGUGCCGGCCCGCCUGGCACCCAGCCAACGAUCGAUAGGUGGAUGUUGUGCUGAUUAGCUCGGCGGGGCUGCGGCGGCAAGAGGCGGCAUGUGAACAUGCGCGUGGAGGGGGCGGCGGGCGGAGGGUGCUAGAGGUCCAGAGACUGAUGACCAGGCCGAAAUGCUGGAGGUUUUCGAACCCCUGCCCCACCCCUUUGCACACCUGGCUCACACCCCGUCCUUCUGGGUUGUUUCCAUCGCUCAGGCUGAGGCCUGGGGCGGAGGACAGCACCCAGGACGAAGCCUACAUGAGUUGACCCGCCCCCUGAUUCAAGGCCACUUUCUGUAGGUGCAUGUGCUUGCGUAUUCGUGUCAGGGCCCUCCCCGCAAAACACGAUUCUUAGGGGGGGCGAGAGGCCAGAGAGAAGAGGGUGAAGUCUGAGCUGAGGCCUGAGCUAUGGGCUCGGUCUUCGGUCCUGUGUUCGAGUUCAGUCUCUACUGCCAACCAGAAGGUGUCUAUCCGUCGCCGUGGAAACCGACUGUACUGCUACCUCCGCCCCUCUCCAGUGAAGCCAGAGGCGACGCAGGCCGGGGAUGACUGGUUCGACCAGCACUAAGGACUGCGGGCUUCUCAUCCUGCUCCCAGCGGCCGCAGACACCCUCCCUUCGCGGACCAAGCCCGGCGCGCUCGCUCCCGAGCCCGUAGCCGGCGCGCGGAUCUCGCCGCUGAUAACGCAUGUGCGAAAGAGACGCGGGGCCAAACCGGCUUUCCCCACACUCAAGACACACGCCCUCUCUCUCAGGCAGACGCGCACACUUGACACAGACACAGGCAGGCCCUCGCCGGCUCCUAGCUCCCUGCAGCCCGGGCCUUGUGUGGACAACUGAUUCAGUUGCGGGGCGCGUCUCCAAGGAAAGCGAGGGCCAAGUCCGCUCAUGGGGCCUAGACAGGUCGAAGACUCUGGGCGGUCUUCCGGGACUGGGCCCUACCCAUGAGAAGUCCUCGAGGCGUGUUCCCGGGCGUGGUUCCAGGAGGAUCGGCAGACCUGCAGUAAUUCCUUCCUUUCCUUAUUCAUUCGGCAAGUUGUGAGCUCCCAGCGCGUUCUUCUUUCAGUCGGCCACACCAGCUGGGGUCGUCGGGGGAUCCCCAGCGGUGACGCAGUUGGAGAGGGGCACGCUGACUUCCAAAUAACCAAUAGAAUCCUUGCGCCUGGGGCAUGAGGUCAUCAGCGGUGAUGCCCAUUGGUUCAGGCCUGGACGUGGAGGGGGUCCCCAUAGCAACCGACGGUGCGUCCGAGCGUAACCUGGAGAGUGGUCUUUGCUUGUGCUUCAAUGGCAGCUUGGGUGGUGCUUGGGUUGGGGGCGGGGAGGCGAGAGCGGAGCCCUGUUUCCCAGGUCGUGCAGUUGUAGCCCAACCAAGCUCUUAUUUUUCUUGAGAUCCUUUUACUCACUCAGCCGAGGAAGUUAGGAGGGAAGUAUUGGCAAAAGCGUGGGGGUCCUGGGUACAGAGCUUACGCCACCCGUGGGGGUCCUGGGUACAGAGCUUACGCCACCCGCCACCCGGAAUGUUAAUUCUGAGAUCUUCGCGUUCAUCUGCAUAUCGUCUGCAUCUCAUUUGCAUUCUCUUCAUUUAAGGUCAAAUUGGGCAGACAUCUCCACAUCCCCAGCUCUGUCGCUUGUCUGUAUCCCAAAUCUCUCCCUCACUGGCUCUCUAAUCUACCUCUCAGUGAUCCAGUUCCUUACCCCAUCUCUGCUCCCAGCCUCCAGUCUCUCCAGGGGAGGGAGAGGGCACAGCCUAGCUAAAGGAGAAAGGAUAAGAAGUCUGCCUCUCCCUCUGGAUGUUUGGUGACAGAUGGGGAGGGCUGGUCUGUACUGCCUGGAGACUACAUUGGCAAAGCAAAUGGUUGGGGGAGGUGCCCUGGGCUGAGUUGAGGGUCUCCAGGGCCAAAUCACCC